rnacentral:rRNA from 1 species
GACGAACGCUGGCGGCGUGCUUAACACAUGCAAGUCGAACGGAAAGGCCCUGCUUUUGUGGGGUGCUCGAGUGGCGAACGGGUGAGUAACACGUGAGUAACCUGCCCUUGACUUUGGGAUAACUUCAGGAAACUGGGGCUAAUACCGGAUAGGAGCUCCUGCUGCAUGGUGGGGGUUGGAAAGUUUCGGCGGUUGGGGAUGGACUCGCGGCUUAUCAGCUUGUUGGUGGGGUAGUGGCUUACCAAGGCUUUGACGGGUAGCCGGCCUGAGAGGGUGACCGGCCACAUUGGGACUGAGAUACGGCCCAAACUCCUACGGGAGGCAGCAGUGGGGAAUAUUGCACAAUGGGCGGAAGCCUGAUGCAGCAACGCCGCGUGCGGGAUGACGGCCUUCGGGUUGUAAACCGCUUUCGCCUGUGACGAAGCGUGAGUGACGGUAAUGGGUAAAGAAGCACCGGCUAACUACGU